rnacentral:lncRNA from 1 species
GGAGGGGGAAGGGAAAAGGGGAAACGGUGCAAACGGCGUGGCCGCCAUCUUGCUUGUGCCCCCGCUUCGCGCGCGCUCCGUUCUCCGUGACGCACACUUCCCCCUCCCCUCCGCCGCGCCUGGGCCUCUGCAUUGCCCGACUCCGUAGGAGCGCGGGGGCGGCUCCUGCUCUUCCUGGACUCCUGAGCAGAGUGUCGAGAUGUCCACAGAAGGAGGAUUUGGUGGUACUAGCAGCAGUGAUGCCCAGCAAAGCCUACAGUCGUUCUGGCCUCGG